CUGGGCUCCAGAAUGGAUCAGAACCAGCCCCAGCCAGGCUGGCCCCAGCCCCGUGUGAGUGGCAGCUCGGGAAGAGAGGUGGGAGCUGCAGGCAGAGGCAGCACAGCACCAAAACUCUGCAGCGCCGGUUCCAGAGACAGCAGCACAAGAAAGUGUGAGCAGUAUUCAUCCACUGCUGUGGAGGGAGCUGUGAUUUACAGUGGUCUGCGGUGCCUAGAACACAAAAAUGAAUAUUUAAA
rnacentral:lncRNA from 1 species